rnacentral:rRNA from 1 species
CGUUAACGCUGGCGGUAGGCCUAACACAUGCAAGUCGAACGGCAGCACAGUAAGAGCUUGCUCUUACGGGUGGCGAGUGGCGGACGGGUGAGGAAUACAUCGGAAUCUACUUUUUCGUGGGGGAUAACGUAGGGAAACUUACGCUAAUACCGCAUACGACCUACGGGUGAAAGCAGGGGAUCUUCGGACCUUGCGCGAUUGAAUGAGCCGAUGUCGGAUUAGCUAGUUGGCGGGGUAAAGGCCCACCAAGGCGACGAUCCGUAGCUGGUCUGAGAGGAUGAUCAGCCACACUGGAACUGGGACACGGUCCAGACUCCUACGGGAGGCAGCAGUGGGGAAUAUUGGACAAUGGGCGCAAGCCUGAUCCAGCCAUACCGCGUGGGUGAAGAAGGCGUUCGGGUUGUAAAGCCCUUUUGUUGGGAAAGAAAAGCAGCAGGUUAAUACCCCGCUGUUCUGACGGUACCCAAAGAAUAAGCACCGGCUAACUUCGUG